rnacentral:rRNA from 1 species
AACGAACGCUGGCGGCAGGCUUAACACAUGCAAGUCGAACGCCCCGCAAGGGGAGUGGCAGACGGGUGAGUAACGCGUGGGAAUCUACCCAGAUCUUCGGAACAACUGAGGGAAACUUCAGCUAAUACCGGAUACGCCCUACGGGGGAAAGAUUUAUCGGUUCUGGAUGAGCCCGCGUUGGAGUAGCUAGUUGGUGGGGUAAUGGCCUACCAAGGCGACGAUCCAUAGCUGGUCUGAGAGGAUGAUCAGCCACACUGGGACUGAGACACGGCCCAGACUCCUACGGGAGGCAGCAGUGGGGAAUAUUGGACAAUGGGCGAAAGCCUGAUCCAGCCAUGCCGCGUGAGUGAUGAAGGCCUUAGGGUUGUAAAGCUCUUUCAGUAGGGAGGAUAAUGACGGUACCUACAGAAGAAGCCCCGGCUAACUUCGUGCCAGCCGCCGCCGUAAAAC